UUUGCAUAUUUCUUUCAUUUUAAACUUACCAACGCCACAAAAUUGUGAGAGAACUCUAUCUACUACUAUUAAGAGUGAAAAGGUGCAUAUUUCUUUCAUUUUAAACUUACCAACACCACAAAAAUGUGAGAGAACUCUAUCUACUACUAUUAAGAGUGAAAAGGUCUACAAUCUGUACAUGAUUGAAUUUUUAAGUUUCCACACAUUCUCAGUAGCUGAUGGUGCACACGGGUGGGUUUGGAUCAAUGGAGAGGGCCUUUUCAGUUUCAUGAACAUCAACUUUCUGACCAGUGACAUCAGUGGUGAGCUCUUUGUAUUCUGUACCAUGCAUUGCCGUGUACACCAUAUUCUCUAUCUAAUUGGAUCCCCCAAAAGAUUGAGAUCUUAUGAUAGAAUCCUUUAAUUGCUACAGUGAUGCUUUGCACGGAGGGGAGGAAGACUGGAAGAGCAUGUUGAAGCUGGCUGAAAGGAUGGUGAUGAGAUUCCUUGGGUAGCUACAAUUUUUGUACUUUCAUGUUGAACAUGUUUGCUCUCAAAUUUGCAAGCACAGACAGGUGCUCUAUUUAAAAGGAAGAUUAAUUUAAAUCAAUUGUGUUGGUUUUUAU
rnacentral:lncRNA from 1 species